CACCCAGGAUGGCAGGCGCCGUCAGGCGCUACGGAUCGGAAUUGGAACAGGGGCUGAUCCAUGCGCAUCCCGGGGAAGCAGAGGGGCCGGCAGUCGGGGGACUGUCGGCCCUGUUUUU
rnacentral:antisense_RNA from 1 species